CACCCAUGUGCUACCCCUGGAUAGCGGCGAGGUUCAACCCGGGCGCACACCUGCAGCUCGUUUAGAGGGCGUGGAUCUUGGAUAUAAGCAGCAGCUCCGCUCCUUCUCAUCGCUUGAGUGUUUGCUUACCUCGAUGAUCCAGCUGUCUCCUCGUUGUUCCCGAGAGAGUGAGUUUGUUUCCCCGUUGUUGUGGAUCACCUACCUCCUGUGUCUUCCCCCGACGCUGCCGGUGUUACCGGUCAGACGACACCCCUCGUGUGUUCGUCUUCCCCCUUCGUGGAUCAUUCUCCGGUGGAUUCCCCUUCGGAGCGUUCCGGGUCAGGAGACCCAAGUCCGAACCUCACCGGAGAAAAGAUACAAGAACAGAAACCUACGCCGCUACUCCGGCCGCUAAUUAUCACUGUCCGCUCUCCAACUAGUCAUACUCACACAAACCCAAGCUGAUCACUCCACCCUUCUCAAAUAAGCAUUCUCUGAUUAUUUCUGGACAACAGUCUCCUUGCAGUUUCUAACCUUGCGUCUCUCAUCGGCAGUAAGACGACCUGGUUCUCCGUUCCAGUAUUCUCCCCCUCUCCAUUUUCCCCUGACUUCAAUAAACCAUAAUUGUACUUUUA